rnacentral:lncRNA from 1 species
CUUUUACAAGGACUGUAUCAGUUUUUGGCCAUCAGACACUGACAUGUAGUGUAACUACUUGGUAAGUCAGAACUGUAUCGAGGCGUUCUGCCUCACUGCUGAAAGGAGCCUACGGUUCCCCAUGGCGUGAACAGAUAUUAAGGGCCAGAUUCAUGCUAGGGCUUGGUGCAGGGAGUGAAGGGAUGCAGCUUGCAUGGCACCCCCACUGUACCUCUGCUGCUGCAAUUUGACCCCCCUGUGCAGAUGGGAGAAUUGGAUGGUAGAAGAGAAGAGAGAAGGAACCCAAAUGGAAGAUUUUGAAGUUCUCCAUCUGUGA